GACAGAGGGUUCAAACGUUGUUCGGAAUUACUGGGCGUAAAGCGCGUGUCGGCGGCUAUGCAAGUCGGGCGUGAAAUCCCACGGCUCAACCGUGGAAGUGCACUCGAAACUGCGUAGCUAGAGUCCUGGAGAGGAAGGUGGAAUGCUUGGUGUAGAGGUGAAAUUCGUAGAUAUCAAGCGGAACACCGGUGGCGAAGGCGGCCUUCUGGACAGUGACUGACGCUGAGACGCGAAAGCGUGGGGAGCAAACAGG
rnacentral:rRNA from 1 species